rnacentral:rRNA from 1 species
AUGAGGAAAGGAUUAUUCGCCAACAAGGAUGAAUAUCUCUUCUUUGGAGAAGAAAAUAGGAUGAAAAUGUUUCAGCCAAAUACAUUCAAUUCCAAGCCAAAAACCCAUAUCAAGCUUGAUGAAGCUCAAAGAUGCAUAUUGGAUAAUUUUUUGUUCCAAUAUACUCUCAAGAGAGAGGAAAAAGGAUAUUUUUUAUCAAUUCUUAAUAGUUUGGGAGAAUAUUUUAAUGAAUUAAACAAAAAUUUGCCAAAGCCAGAAAAGAUUGAAAUACCAAAAGGAGAAACACUAUAUCUUAUAUUUGAUGGAAAUAAACCUGGCAUAUAUUUGGAAUGUGAAAAUAUAAUGAUUGAAAAAUUAGAUGCAAAAAGAAAAGGACAAGAUUUAACAUUCAAAAGAUAUUAUAAUAUAGAUGAUGCCUUACUUUGGGCAAGAAAGGUAUUAGGACCAGAUUAUUAUAUUGACCCAAAGGCUAAAGACUAUAUCCAAAUGAAAAGAGGCAUACCUGCUUCACCAACUCCCACAAAGGGGGAGGCAUCAAGCUCAAAAAAUAUAAAGAAGGAAGAAUCUCCAAAAUAUAAGACAUAUCAAGAAUGCCUUCUAAAGGGGCUUGACCCUUUAGACAGUGAAUACAUAGAUCAAGAAAUGGAUAAAAGAUUUGAAGAAUUUUCAAAAAUAAUAAAGAAAGAAUUAAAAGAAGAAAUAUUAAAAGAAUUAAGGCAUGAAAUGGAUGAAAAAUUUGAAGAAAUAAAGAAAGAAUGCGAUCAAAAAUAUGAUUUCAAUCUGUUAAAUGAUGAUGAUGAUCAUAUGAACAUCGCAGGGCAUGGGCAGCGACCUGAAUAA